rnacentral:rRNA from 1 species
UCCUGGCUCAGGACGAACGCUGGCGGCGUGCUUAACACAUGCAAGUCGAACGGAGCACCCCUGAAAGAGUUUUCGGACAAUGGAAGGGAAUGCUUAGUGGCGGACUGGUGAGUAACGCGUGAGGAACCUGCCUUCCAGAGGGGGACAACAGUUGGAAACGACUGCUAAUACCGCAUGACACAUGACCGUGGCAUCACGGACAUGUCAAAGAUUUAUCGCUGGAAGAUGGCCUCGCGUCUGAUUAGCUAGUAGGCGGGGUAACGGCCCACCUAGGCGACGAUCAGUAGCCGGACUGAGAGGUUGACCGGCCACAUUGGGACUGAGAUACGGCCCAGACUCCUACGGGAGGCAGCAGUGGGGAAUAUUGGGCAAUGGGCGCAAGCCUGACCCAGCAACGCCGCGUGAAGGAAGAAGGCUUUCGGGUUGUAAACUUCUAUCAGCAGGGAAGAAAUAGCGACCUUUGGGUCGCCAGACGGUACCUGAUUAAGAAGCCCCGGCUAACUACGUG